rnacentral:rRNA from 1 species
UACGAAGGGGGCUAGCGUUGCUCGGAAUCACUGGGCGUAAAGGGCGCGUAGGCGGAUCUUUAAGUCGGGGGUGAAAGCCUGAGGCUCAACCUCAGAAUUGCCUUCGAUACUGGAGAUCUUGAGACCGGAAGAGGUAAGUGGAACUGCGAGUGUAGAGGUGAAAUUCGUAGAUAUUCGCAAGAACACCAGUGGCGAAGGCGGCCAACUGGUCCGGUACUGACGCUGAGGUGCGAAAGCGUGGGGAGCAAACAGG